CCUUCCGUGGUCAGAUCGGUUAUCUCUUCUCCUCGGCCGCCGCUCUUCCCCAGCCUACCAGCACUACUCCAGCCGCCUCCUCCACAUGUGUGCUGCUCCUUUACCGGUUGACAGUUGUGCGGCGGCGUCGCCUGGCCUUUUCCUUGGCCCAUUUGGCUGAGCUCUAUGCCUAGCCCGCCGGUCGCUCCCUCAUUCGAUGCCUCCUCUUCUCCUUUGGCGGCUAGUUCCUCCCCUGAUCUAACACCGAAGCCUUCCUUGCCCCCAAAUUCAUCCCCCCCUCUCUGUCUCCGAUGUCGACGAUGCCACCCGAGACUGCAGGAACGGCGCCACUAGCCGCCCUAGCUAGCUUCACCGCCGUCUAACCUACAGUCAUCCCGAUUCCACAGCGGCGAGGUAGCGAACCUGAGAGGGGGUGCAGAGGCGCACACGCGGUUCAUGCAGUACAGAUAUCAGGCCAACUCGAGCCUGGUCCUCAUCACUGACUCGCAGCCACGCGCGAUCCCGAGACGCUCUGGGGCCUUAUCGACAAGAAGAGCUCUGGGCACCAUGCCGUGCAGGCCAAGCCCCUGGUGCUCAAGGACAGGCUCACCAAGGCCCGGAAGGAGUCGGUAGCACGCUAGCAGAUGGAGAUGGGCGUGGAGGUAUCAGAGGACAGAGCAGAAAGAAUUCAUGUCCGCUACUAAGAUGUAUCAAACCACAUAUUGUGUAGUUCAGAUUGAAUAUUUUGUAUAUAACUAUUUCAUCGAUGUUCCAUGAAUAAAGGUUGAUUUUAUUACUCUCAAAGAUGACAGAUUUCGGUACUGCACAUGCUGUGAAUUGAUAUGGAAGUAACUCUGAUGAUUAUUGUUUUCAUGAAUCUUGUACAUUUUUGCAAAUUGAUAUAUUUCACUACACAUGGAUAGGCUGCAUAAAGCAAAAACAAAAUUCAGGUUGCACUCUCUUCUUAAGAAAGCUACAUUGGUGAGAUCUUGAAGUUAGGAGAGGAGUGAAAAGCCAUAUGUCUACUUGCCAUCAACUAUGCCCGGGAUUUCACACAUUGCUUUGGAUGAGCAAAGAUUGG